UACGGGGGGAGCAAGCGUUGUUCGGAUUUACUGGGCGUAAAGGGCGCGUAGGCGGCCACCGCAAGUCGACUGUGAAAUCUCCGGGCUUAACCCGGAAAGGUCAGCCGAUACUGCGGGGCUAGAGUGUAGAAGGGGCAACUGGAAUUCUCGGUGUAGCGGUGAAAUGCGUAGAUAUCGAGAGGAACACCUGCGGCGAAGGCGGGUUGCUGGGCUGACACUGACGCUGAGGCGCGAAAGCUAGGGGAGCGAACGGG
rnacentral:rRNA from 1 species